UACAGAGGUGGCAAGCGUUGUUCGGAAUUACUGGGCGUAAAGGGCGCGUAGGCGGCCAACUAAGUCAGACGUGAAAUCCCUCGGCUUAACCGGGGAACUGCGUCUGAUACUGGAUGGCUUGAGUUUGGGAGAGGGAUGCGGAAUUCCAGGUGUAGCGGUGAAAUGCGUAGAUAUCGGGAGGAACACCUGUGGCGAAAGCGGCGCACUGGACCACUUCUGACGCUGAGGCGCGAA
rnacentral:rRNA from 1 species